rnacentral:rRNA from 1 species
AACGCGAAGAACCUUACCUACUCUUGAAUCCACGGAAGACUGCAGAGAUGCGGUUGUGCCUUUGGGAACCGUGAGACAGGUGCUGCAUGGCUGUCGUCAGCUCGUGUCGUGAGAUGUUGGGUUAAGUCCCGUAACGAGCGCAACCCUUGUCCUUAGUUACCAGCGAGUAAAGUCGGGGACUCUAAGGAGACCGCCGGUGACAAACCGGAGGAAGGUGGGGACGAUGUCAAGUCAUCAUGGCCCUUACGAGUAGGGCUACACACGUGCUACAAUGGUCGGUACAAAAGGCCGCGAAGUCGCGAGAUGGAGCAAAUCCCAAAAAACCGAUCGUAGUCCGGAUUGGAGUCUGCAACUCGACUCCAUGAAGCUGGAAUCGCUAGUAAUCGUGGAUCAGAACGCCACGGUGAAUACGUUCCCGGGCCUUGUACACACCGCUCGCGA